rnacentral:rRNA from 1 species
UUGAACGCUGGCGACAUGCCUUACCCCUGCAAGUCGAACGGCAGCACGGGUGCUUGCACCUGGUGGCGAGUGGCGAACGGGUGAGUAAUACAUCGGAACAUGUCCUGUAGUGGGGGAUAGCCCGGCGAAAGCCGGAUUAAUACCGCAUACGAUCUACGGAUGAAAGCGGGGGACCUUCGGGCCUCGCGCUAUAGGGUUGGCCGAUGGCUGAUUAGCUAGUUGGUGGGGUAAAGGCCUACCAAGGCGACGAUCAGUAGCUGGUCUGAGAGGACGACCAGCCACACUGGGACUGAGACACGGCCCAGACUCCUACGGGAGGCAGCAGUGGGGAAUUUUGGACAAUGGGCGAAAGCCUGAUCCAGCAAUGCCGCGUGUGUGAAGAAGGCCUUCGGGUUGUAAAGCACUUUUGUCCGGAAAGAAAUCCUUGGCCCUAAUACGGUCGGGGGAUGACGGUACCGGAAGAAUAAGCACCGGCUAACUACGUG